AUUUGGUUCAGCUAGAAAGAAAGUCUCAUGUUUAUAGUCUCCAAUUCGUUGUUUUAUUCGUAAUUCCUUCGACCUGUAGCUUCAUAAGUCUAAGUCUAUUUUCCCGCUAUUAACGCCUUAUAAGGGCACUUUUCAAUUAAAUAUCAGGAUAUUAUUAUGUCUAAUACAACUACUGGCACUGUAAAAUGGUUCAACGAAACUAAAGGUUUCGGUUUCAUCGAGCAAGAGUCUGGCCCAGAUGUUUUCGCUCACUUCAGCGCUAUCACUGGCGACGGUUUCAAAACCCUUGCUGAAGGCCAAAAAGUUGAGUUCACCGUAACUCAAGGUCAAAAAGGCCCACAGGCUGAGAACAUCGUAGCUCUAUAAUCU
rnacentral:sRNA from 1 species